rnacentral:rRNA from 1 species
AUUGAACGCUGGCGGCAGGCCUAACACAUGCAAGUCGAGCGGAGAGGCGGAAGAGUGAGUAAUGCCUAGGAAUCUGCCUGGUAGUGGGGGAUAACGUCCGGAAACGGACGCUAAUACCACAUGCUAUAAGAUGAGCCUAGGGCGGAUUAGCUAGUUGGUGGGGUAAUGGCCUACCAAGGCGACGAUCCGUAACUGGUCUGAGAGGAUGAUCAGGCACACUGGAACGUAGACACGGCCCAGACGCCUACGGGAGGCAGCAGUGGGGAAUAUUGGACAAUGGGCGAAAGCCUGAUCCAGCCAUGCCGCGUGUGUGAAGAAGGUUUUCGGAUUGUAAAGCACUUUAAGUUGGGAGGCGUUACCAACAGAAUAAGCACCGGCUAACUUCGUGCCAGCAGCCGCGGUAAUAC